ACAUCACAGACAGCACUGCACGAGCACCUCUGCUCUUGUACAAAAGCAGACCCCUCUCAGCCCCAGAGAUUUCCACGCAGUUGUAUUUAUUAUUUGUCCAGAAAUGGAUUGGCUACAUAGACCAGGCUUCAAGAAAAAGUUCACAGUGCAGUCAAUACCUGAGUACCCUUGUGAAUGCUGCUUGCUGGUGCCCAGCAUUCCCUCUAGCAGAGUCUAUCAGGCCUGACGCCGACCACAACCAUUCGCCUUCCGUCACGGACUCGGGCAGCCAAAUGAGGAAAAGUCAAACUGCGCUUUGAGCAGUGGGACACCUUACUGGUACGACUGGAGAGAACAGAACGGAUGUCUGUUCUUAGGGACUCAUUUUGAUAUUGGUAAUUGAAAUCUCUGUGCUCAGUUCAACACAUCAGUCUCCUAAAUUGCACAAUACAUUUUUAGAACAGCCUGUGAGGCUUGAAAGAAACCAACACAGAAGCUUACAGCCCUGUUUCUCCUGCCUAUCUCAAACACAUCCUGGCAAAGUAGGCUCUGUACCACGGCAGAAAGGCCUUCUGCAUCAAUGAGAAGCAGGCAAGCAGACCACAAGUGAUGGGGAACCACACAAAGGGAGAGAGGCCACAGUACAAUCUACAGCUUCUUUCCUAGCUGUCAGAGGUAGGCAUAAAACAUCUGGUGCACCGGUCAAAUCUGUGAUUCAGAAACAGAUUUGCCCAUGGGAGCAGCACAGAGAGAACGCUUUCCCCAAACAAAGACAGCUGUUCCAGAGAGGACCUUCUUUCAGAGCUGGAGCUCCAAGUGAAGAAGGUUUUACAAUGCACUGGGAUGCAGCCCUAGACCCUUCCUCAGCAGCAUCACUGUCACCCUAUAAGUCAAAGGCAGAUGGUUGAGAUCCACUCCAGGUCCCUCAUAUCCACUCUUCACUCUAGCAGUGUUGUUUAGCCACUUUGAAAGAGCAGCCCAACAUCCUGCAAGACCGCAUCUCUUCCCCCCAUCAUCACCUGCCAACCACCUGGUGGGGAACCAUCUUCCAGUAGGAGAGGACUAUUGCGGAUGCAUGGCAAAAUUUGGGUGGCUCACAGAAUUCAUUUUACAACAUCUACUUCUAAGAAGUGCUGCAGGCUACUGCAGUGGAUUUGCUACCGGUGUGGGACCAAAUUAGACUUCGCUUGGCAAGGUGCUGAGGUGUUUGCUGGGCUAGUGAUAGGAGGCUGGUUUUGCAUAAAAGACUGGGAGUUAGUUUGAGAUGUCCCAUGCACUUAGCAAAGGAUAAUUUAACCUCUGCGUCCUUGCAGAGGAGGAGGAGACUUGCAAGUGUAAAUCUUGGGACAUGCAAAGCUGUUAUGCUCUGCUGACUUGGAACAGCAUUGAUCAGUUUGUGCUAGCUGCAGAUCUGGUGAGGAAACUUUAAGUACAGCAGAUUGAUUGCUACCAAGGGACGAAUUCCCCAUAGCUAUUCGGAUUCAAGCCUUAAAGUGCUGGCAUAUUGAUCUGUUUAUGGUGAUUUAUUAGUUACAGCCCUGUACCCCAAACUCUCUCGCACAGUUAUAUGAGUAAAAAAGCAUACUAUUGCUAGCUUAACUCAUUUUUUUUUCCAGUGGAUAGCACAACCAGUAUAUAAAGCUCCACACUGGUUGGGCAGCCCACAGUAGGGCAGGGGAAGCAAAGAGGCACUUAAUGACUACAGGGAAGCCUG